rnacentral:rRNA from 1 species
UUCCGGUUGAUCCUGCCGGAGGUCAUUGCUAUCGGGGUCCGAUUUAGCCAUGCUAGUUGUACGAGUUCAGACUCGUAGCGGAUAGCUCCGUAACACGUGGCCAAACUACCCUACAGAGAACGAUAACCUCGGGAAACUGAGGCUAAUAGUUCAUACCGUACUCACGCUGGAAUGCCGAGUACCAGAAACGCUCCGGCGCUGUAGGAUGUGGCUGCGGCCGAUUAGGUAGACGGUGGGGUAACGGCCCACCGUGCCGAUAAUCGGUACGGGUUGUGAGAGCAAGAACCCGGAGACGGAAUCUGAGACAAGAUUCCGGGCCCUACGGGGCGCAGCAGGCGCGAAACCUUUACACUGCACGACAGUGCGACAAGGGGACCCCGAGUGCGAGGGCAUACAGUCCUCGCUUUUGUGAACCGUAAGAAGGUUCACGAAUAAGAGCUGGGCAAGACCGGUGCCAGCCGCCGCGGUAAUACCGGCAGCUCGAGUGAUGACCGCUGUUAUUGGGCCUAAAGCGUCCGUAGCUGGCCGUGUAAGUCCAUCGGGAAAUCCAUCCGCUCAACGGAUGGGCGUCCGGUGGAAACUGCACGGCUUGGAGCCGGAAGACCCAAGGGGUACGUCUGGGGUAGGAGUGAAAUCCCGUAAUCCUGGACGGACCGCCGAUGGCGAAAGCACCUUGGGAAGACGGACUCGACAGUGAGGGACGAAAGCUAGGGUCUCGAACCGGAUUAGAUACCCGGGUAGUCCUAGCCGUAAACGAUGCCUGUUAGGUGUGGCACCCACUACGAGUGGGUGCUGUGCCGUAGGGAAGCCGCUAAACAGGCCGCCUGGGAAGUACGUCCGCAAGGAUGAAACUUAAAGGAAUUGGCGGGGGAGCACUACAACCGGAGGAGCCUGCGGUUUAAUUGGAUUCAACGCCGGG